rnacentral:rRNA from 1 species
CAAAGGAGCAAUCCGCUGAAAGAUGGGCUCGCGUCCGAUUAGGUAGUUGGCGGGGCAACGGCCCACCAAGCCGACGAUCGGUAGCCGGACUGAGAGGUUGAACGGCCACAUUGGGACUGAGACACGGCCCAGACUCCUACGGGAGGCAGCAGUGAGGGAUAUUGGUCAAUGGGGGAAACCCUGAACCAGCAACGCCGCGUGAGGGAAGACGGUUUUCGGAUUGUAAACCUCUGUCCUCUGUGAAGAUGAUGACGGUAGCAGAGGAGGAAGCUCCGGCUAACUACGUGCCAGCAGCCGCGGUAAUACGUAGGGAGCAAGCGUUGUCCGGAUUUACUGGGUGUAAAGGGUGCGUAGGCGGCUUUGCAAGUCAGAAGUGAAAUCCAUGGGCUUAACCCAUGAACUGCUUUUGGAACUGCAGAGCUUGAGUGGAGUAGAGGUAGGCGGAAUUCCCGGUGUAGCGGUGAAAUGCGUAGAGAUCGGGAGGAACACCAGUGGCGAAGGCGGCCUGCUGGGCUCUAACUGACGCUGAGGCACGAAAGCGUGGGUAGCAAACAGGAUUAGAUACCCUGGUAGUCCACGCUGUAAACGAUGAUUACUAGGUGUGGGUGGACUGACCCCAUCC